UAGAUGAUAGUGUACUCUAGGAAUCAGACUUGCUUUCCUGAAAAAAUGUGAAGGGCCUUUCCCCUUUUCAAAUCACUCUUUUUCUUUCUGCUUAUUUUCAAUUUCAGUUUUGUGAACAUAUAAUAUACUAAUAUACAACUCAAUGUAGGAAGUCCUUCUAUUAUAAUCAUUUAAUUUGGAGUCAAUGGUAACAUGAAACGAAACUCAGAAACUGAGGCAUGGGAGUACCAUCUUUCUGCUGGGUAUCACUGUACGCGUUAGAUUGUCUACCUGGGUAUGAAUGCCAGCUGUCCACAUAAACAUAGUAAUCUAAACCUUGCACUUCUUUUGAAGUAAAUUAUUGUCUGUAAA
rnacentral:lncRNA from 1 species